AGCAGUAACUCUGGGGACGAUAUAGAGGUUAUAUCGGUUAUAUUUGAAAGUUCGAAUCAAAUUGCAUGAAUUACAAACGAAAAUUUCAAGUCAAUUUGAAUAAAUAAAGUGUAAAGACGAAACUGAAAAAUGGUCCAAUGGUCACUUCAUUUUUCGGUGCGAUGACUGGCAGUAAAGAGCCACUGGCGUACUAGUCCAGACCGUCAAGACCAAGACUCACUUGAGAAACAUAAAUCCAAUGGUUGCUAGUUAGUGUUCGAAUAAAAUGGAGAACGAUGACUGUUGUGAUGACCUUUGCACUGACUGCUGCACAUGUUCUACUGGCAGCAUUGACAACGUUGAUCUCUGUCUCAUGUGUUGCUGUUGUUGUCCAUGUGAAGAUCCUCCUCCACGUACUCCUCGAAGAGCUUCCAAUAAUCAGUGGACACAGUCACCAUCGCAAUCAUUGCAAUCCCCACCAAUUAAUACGCAACCUACAUCAAACGCGUAGUUGAAGCAGUUUUUGGAGUAAAUGUACAUCAAUCCCGAUAGUCAGACGAGCAUAAUAAGGAGUGAAAUAAAAAAAAUGGUUUGUACCCUCUGCCAGUUGCACGUGCUAUAGCCGAUUAAGACCUUCAUCAAGUCUUUUGGAUCUUUCCAACACAGAGAACUUAUGAUCUUCCAUAUAUCUCGCAUGAAUACGCAUUUUAUUCAUAAAAAAAAAUUUAUAAAGCAUGUAUCAAGACAAUCGGAUUUAAAAUAAACGGGAGUUUCAAUUUUAUGGGAAAACAA